UACGGAGGGUGCAAGCGUUGCUCGGAAUUAUUGGGCGUAAAGGGCAGGUAGGUGGUCUCAUUUGUCUGGGGUGAAAGCCUUGAGCUUAACUCAAGAAGUGCCCCAGAAACGGUGAGACUGGAGUCCUGGAGAGGGUCGUGGAAUUCCCGGUGUAGCGGUGAAAUGCGUAGAUAUCGGGCGGAACACCAGCGGCGAAGGCGGCAUCCUGGUCCUAUUCUGACGCUGAGGCGCGAGAGCGUGGGGAGCAAACUGG
rnacentral:rRNA from 1 species